rnacentral:sRNA from 1 species
UGAAAUUCAGCCAAGAGACUGAAGUCCUCCAUUUUUUCACAGAACAGGUAGAACGUGGACAACCGCAGUUCAACCUUUCCCCACACCUCCCUGCCAAUGUUCUUCGACCCUGACCUGGGGGGGCCACCGCUGGGGUGAGAGGGUGGCUCAUUGAUUCCUUGACCAUUCUUCUGAAACUACA